CAGGCUUAACACAUGCAAGUCGAGGGGCAGCAUGGUCUUAGCUUGCUAAGGCCGAUGGCGACCGGCGCACGGGUGAGUAACACGUAUCCAACCUGCCGUCUACUCUUGGACAGCCUUCUGAAAGGAAGAUUAAUACAAGAUGGCAUCAUGAGUCCGCAUGUUCACAUGAUUAAAGGUAUUCCGGUAGACGAUGGGGAUGCGUUCCAUUAGAUAGUAGGCGGGGUAACGGCCCACCUAGUCUUCGAUGGGUAGGGGUUCUGAGAGGAAGGUCCCCCACAUUGGAACUGAGACACGGUCCAAACUCCUACGGGAGGCAGCAGUGAGGAAUAUUGGUCAAUGGGCGAGAGCCUGAACCAGCCAAGUAGCGUGAAGGAUGACUGCCCUAUGGGUUGUAAACUUCUUUUAUAAAGGAAUAAAGUCGGGUAUGGAUACCCGUUUGCAUGUACUUUAUGAAUAAGGAUCGGCUAACUCCGUGCCAGCAGCCGCGGUAAUACGGAGGGUCCGAGCGUUAUCCGGAUUUAUUGGGUUUAAAGGGAGCGUAGAUGGAUGUUUAAGUCAGUUGUGAAAGUUUGCGGCUCAACCGUAAAAUUGCAGUUGAUACUGGAUAUCUUGAGUGCAGUUGAGGCAGGCGGAAUUCGUGGUGUAGCGGUGAAAUGCUUAGAUAUCACGAAGAACUCCGAUUGCGAAGGCAGCCUGCUAAGCUGCAACUGACAUUGAGGCUCGAAAGUGUGGGUAUCAAACAGGAUUAGAUACCCUGGUAGUCCACACGGUAAACGAUGAAUACUCGCUGUUUGCGAUAUACAGCAAGCGGCCAAGCGAAAGCGUUAAGUAUUCCACCUGGGGAGUACGCCGGCAACGGUGAAACUCAAAGGAAUUGACGGGGGCCCGCACAAGCGGAGGAACAUGUGGUUUAAUUCGAUGAUACGCGAGGAACCUUACCCGGGCUUAAAUUGCAGAUGAAUUACGGUGAAAGCCGUAAGCCGCAAGGCAUCUGUGAAGGUGCUGCAUGGUUGUCGUCAGCUCGUGCCGUGAGGUGUCGGCUUAAGUGCCAUAACGAGCGCAACCCUUGUUGUCAGUUACUAACAGGUUCUGCUGAGGACUCUGACAAGACUGCCAUCGUAAGAUGUGAGGAAGGUGGGGAUGACGUCAAAUCAGCACGGCCCUUACGUCCGGGGCUACACACGUGUUACAAUGGGGGGUACAGAGGGCCGCUACCACGCGAGUGGAUGCCAAUCCCCAAAACCUCUCUCAGUUCGGACUGGAGUCUGCAACCCGACUCCACGAAGCUGGAUUCGCUAGUAAUCGCGCAUCAGCCACGGCGCGGUGAAUACGUUCCCGGGCCUUGUACACACCGCCCGUCAAGCCAUGGGAGCCGGGGGUACCUGAAGUGCGUAACCGCGAGGAGCGCCCUAGGGUAAAACUGGUGACUGGGGCUAAGUCGU
rnacentral:rRNA from 1 species